rnacentral:lncRNA from 1 species
AACAACACCACUUAGAGUCUCACCUUGUGGUCUUGAAGGAAAUAUUUUUCCUAAGGACACUUGAUAGAGACAUGCGGCAGGACACUGCAUUUGGAGCAGCUCAGGUGUGGAUCCAGCAUCUCAAGCCCUUUCUUCCUCAGCCAGAGACACACCUGGAAGAAGUUAUCACAGAUCUCAUGCAAAUACUUCCAGGGGCAUAUAAACCUAGGCUUUGUCAUAGAAUGUUUUCCUUCCAGAUCACCUUAAACAUUUUCCCAAUUUGGAAAAGAAAGUAUUACCCUCUUUUCUUUUUUUUUUUUUUUUUAUUAAUGGCUGAUGGAUUGCUUUUUCUCUGUACACCUAAUUGCAUAACUAGUCAGUUUGCAGGUUCCUCACCUAUUUAUAUAAAGGCCCUGGUAUUUGCAUGAAUGUGUCUCCUUCAUAAAAUGGUGACAUUCUUGAAGGAAGGUAAGGAAUUAAGUAUUUCCUUUUCAUGCACAGAAUGGCAGCAACCUAAGCACCAAGGUCUAAGGCUACUCUGUUUCCUAGGACAUCCUGACAUUUCACUCACCUUAAUCAAAGGCAUUUUAACCUUUUUAAUCUAUUCACUAUCACCCCUUCCUGCUGAGGGUAUCAAUUAGAGCAUCAUUUGCUCUCUACCAAGCAAGCUUACCAAACUCAUCCAAACUGAGGUAGUUCCUUCCUGAGAAAGCAGUGUGAAAAAUAUUUUCUGCUGACUUCCAUAAAUCCUGGAAAUAGACUGAUAAAAUAGAUGUGCUUUUUGGGAGGAUGUAGUAACAAUAGCAAGAAAGGGAAAAACAGAAGCUAGUGCUCACAAGUAAUAGCAAUCAAAAGUUGUGAGUAUUAUGUGCAUUCAACAGCAGACGGAGCAGCAGCACUGUCUUUUCCACUGAAGAUCAUCAGUACCCCCUGAGCUAAACCAGUGACUUAAAAGUCACAGGCCCCACAUGGACUGCAGGUUUCUGAGUCAUUUGGACUCCUGUGUUCCUAGCACACCUGAAGAACCUCAUUUAGCUUGAUACAGAACCAUCAGAAGGUGCUUCAAACAAAAACAUUAGGAACAUUUUAUAGUUGGUAAUUAUUUUUAAUCAAGAUUUAAAGGAAUAAGGUUAUUCCUCUGAUUAAAAUAAUGCAAGUAAUUAUUGUGAAGGCUUAGACAGGUGAUGUUAAUAGUGUGGAUCUCUAAGAAGGAGGAACUAUUUUCUUGCAAAUAUUAAGGAACUGGAGG